GAAGUCGUUACUUUAACCCUUGUGGAGAAGGACGCCGAAGGUGGGGCUGAUGACUGGGGUGAAGUCGUAACAAGGUAGCCGUACCGGAAGGUGCGGCUGGAUCACCUCCUAACAGGGAGACAAUAAAUUGAUUGUGAUGUCUAAGUUAUUUAUUCUUAGGCCGCAAUCCUGUCACCUUAAGGUCGAUCGGUACCUCAGAUUUUUGAAUUAGUUUUACAAUUGAUUCUUUGAUUUCAGUUCCUAAACUUGUCUAGGUCACACCCAACAAAGGUUUCUCCUGGGCCAUUAGCUCAGGUGGUUAGAGCGCACCCCUGAUAAGGGUGAGGUCCCUGGUUCAAGUCCAGGAUGGCCCAUUCGUUGUUGGGGGUAUAGCUCAGUUGGUAGAGCGCCUGCUUUGCAAGCAGGAUGCCAGCGGUUCGAGUCCGCUUACCUCCACUGAAAACUAUCCUGAUAACUAAAUUUCUGGAGAAAAAAAUUGUAGAUGUGGCUUAGAAUUGUCUAUUUGAAAAGAACCUAGCUUCUUGUCAUCUUUUUAUAGUUGAUAAAAUGCUGGGCUCGCAUGGAUUAUUUCCAUGAGAAUUCAGUAGAACCUUGAAAACUGCAUAGAUUAGAAAGAAUAAAGCAUCUCAUGGAUGCAUAGUUCUGUUUUUAUAAUUUAGCCUUAAAACUAAAUUAUUUAAUUCUAGAAUUCAUGUUUAAUUCUUGAGUAAUAGCCGAGCACAAUUGAUUUUGUGAUUGUAUUUAAGGUCAAGCUACAAAGGGCUCAUGGCGGAUACCUUGGCACACAGAGGCGAUGAA
rnacentral:misc_RNA from 1 species